rnacentral:lncRNA from 1 species
AACUUCGCUACCUUUUGCAUAUUAACUAUAUUAUGUAGAAAUUGGUUUUCUCAAAAAAUUAUUAUAUUUACCUUAAAUUUUAAAAUAAACCUUAUCAAGCUUGCAAAAGGUACCAGCUGAAUUUUUUUGAAUAAAUAGAAAUUCAUGCUAUUAAACGUUAUGGAAUCUAACCCCCUUUUUUUUUUCAACUUUUUCUAAAAUAUGAGAAGCCAGUCAAGACAGCAAAGGAGAAGAAUCAAUAUUUUAAGAUGUAUUUAUGGUGUCACAUGGAUUCAGAAAGCACUUUUUUCUUUUUAGAAAUAGAUUUGAGGGGAAAAAUAAGGGAAAGACACAAAAUUUAUUGACUAUUACUUUUGCUAUAUAAAAUAUUACCCUCCUUUGGAAUUGUAUAUUCCAUAUAACAUUAUUUUGAAAUAUCUUUCUUUCUCUCUUGCAAUGUGGAAAUAUUUCCCUAUGUUAGCAGUUAGUCUCACUGUUUCACUGAGGGAAAUAAAUCAAAGAAACAGAAUUUUGUGGCCACCUUGAAAUGAACACAAACACUAAGUAACAAAUAUCAGGUACAGACUGAGCACUGGUGGCUCCUCAGAGUUAACUGCCCCCAGCUCUCCAAUUCCUAGUCUGUCUCUCAGCUAAGACUGCUUUUGUGAAUUUUCUGUAUAACAGCAGAUUGUUAGGGAUUCUGCUAGGAUUUAUAGGUAAGUUGUAAAAAAUCUAUUAUUGAAUCAAAUGCCUAUAUUGUGAGUAUCUAAUUCAUAUAUUAUAUCAACUAUGAUUCAGACAUUUAGGUGUUUUCACAUACCUAUAAAUCUAUGGUUGAGAGUGAUUUUAAAAUUUGCUGAAGGCACUUUUUUCCUUUUUCAAAUUAAAAACAUGGUAAGCUUGGCAAAUACCACGUAAGUCACCAGGACAAAAAAGUAGCAAGUUUCCAUUUCUUUUAAUAUUUGUUCUUCUUCUUCUGUCCUGGUCAUUUUCAGCAAACAAGGCAAUAUGUUUUUUAAAUUCUAAUUUCUACAAAAAUAUAUGCUUAUCAUAUUUCUGGCUCUAGAUGGAAGAUCAACUGUUCUAUAAGUACACCAACUUCUUGCAGCUUCCUUUUACAGCGCAAUAUGAGGGUCACCUGUAGACAGAAAUGCAUAGGCUCUGCUCACCUAAACCUCUGCUCAGUUGCUGGCAUUCAUUGCAUAUACUAGUUAAUGAUCUAAAAUUAUAGAUUAUUUCAUGAAAGGAGCUUCCUAAUGCAUGCCUUUUAGACAUCUUUCUUCUUUUUCUCUCUUUACUCCCUUAUUCUCUCAUUGUGAACCAAAUUGGAGAUAAUAGCAUUGAAUCUAUUAACUUUGUCAAGAAUCACUUAAAACAGCACAUUCACCUAAGUACACCCAAGUUCCUGCCAUGCAAUUCUGUAACUGGACAGCCUGCAAUACAACAUGCCAACUCAAUCUUACACUCUUAACAUCCUCUACUUAAACUGAACAAAUUUGGCUUGCUUUGCUACCCACAACUCCACUUCUUCAUAAUUGGACAAUCACCCUUAAUAUUUUUUUGAAAGUAGUAUAUGCCAUCCAUAACACUGUGAGGCAUGCUUUUUUGCUUGUUGCUAUCAUCUGGGGAAUGAGGGAGGUGGGGGAAUGCUAAACUCUUUAAAGUAUGAAAAAACUUCAGAGGGGAAAUCUAUUUUCACUUUGUUAUGGAUGUGUUCACUGGUUAAGAAUGCUUAUAAUAUGGAAAGAAUUCAAUUUUUGAUAAAAUUCCAGACAUAUAGUAGUUAAAGGUAUUCAGUUGUAGGAGUCAUGCACAGUUCAAAAACAAAUACCAUGUGGUUAAGUUAGAUGGUCUUUAAAGAUACAAUGUUAAGUGGUAACUCCUCUGUGUAACCUCUCUUUACUUCUUCACUAUAUAUGACUUGCAAUUUUCUUAGUCAUAAUGAUGUUACAAUAUAUUUUCUCUCUAAAUUUUUAAACCCAAAUGUAUAAUUAAACUGUACUACCUUUUCUCUCCACCCUAGAAGCAUUCAUACAAUAUCUCACUUAUAAAAAACUGAUUAUUGGCUGGGAAUGGUGGCUCACGCCUGCAAUCCCAGCACUUUGGGAGGCCGAGGCAGGUGGAUCACCUGAGGUCAGGAGUUCGAGACCAGCCUAGCCAACAUGGCAAAACCCCAUCUCUACUAAAAAUACAAAAAUUAGCCAGGCGUGGUGGCGCAUGCCUAUGAUCUCAGCUACUCGGGAUGCUGAGGCAGAGGAAUCACUUGAACCCAGGAGGCGGAGGUUGCAGUGAGCUGAGAUUGCACCACUGCACUCCAGCUUGGGAGACAAGGUAAGACCUUGACUCAGAGGAAAAAAAAAAAAAACUGAUUAUUUUGCUUAGUUUUUAUGGUAACUUGAUGACUUUAGCUUUUACAUUUUCUCUGGAAAUUCAAUUAGUUCUUCAGGUUCCUAAGAUUUUAAUUUUCCUCAAAGACAUGCAUUAAUAAUGCACUUGUUUUGUAAAAUAUUGAAUUUUAAUCUGUAUUUUUUGGUGAUCAAAAUUAGAAACAACUUAAAACUUGUGACUCUGAUAUUGCCAACACUUGCCCCACUUCCUGGCCAGCACUUCACUUCAGGAGCCCUCCUUCUCCAACUCCAACUGGUGGGCCCAAGAGAGUGGCCAUGAUCGUAUACAUCUACCCAGACCCCUCAAAGACAAGAUUACAGUUGAUUGGUCCAGAAGUAGGUACCUGACCCAAAAAAUGGCCAAUCAGAUUCCUUCCAAGAUCUUUUGACCUGAAUCCAAAGUAGAAAAUUGGUCUGUCUCUAGUGGUAGAAGAUACACAAUAAGAAACUCCCUGAUUUUUAAAGAGCACGUUCCCUGCCCAAAAAGGAACCUCAUCAGUCGUUAGAGAGUAUAAAAUGACUACAAACCUAACAUGGUGAGAAAUAGAAUGAAAGACACCCUCAGCAUCCAUGUCCCUAGUUCCAGUUGCUCUGAAGAUGCAGUCAAUAUCUUUACCCUUCCUGUGGCUUAGCUCUUCAACCCUUCCUUCCAAUACAUUCUCCUUCUUCUCUAAGCUACUUCAAGAUGGCUUUCUGUCACUUUCAACUAAAAGAAACAUAAUUAAUGCUAAUUCCUAAAUAAUAUAGAUUUUGAAAAACCUGAAAACUGCAAUUAAAAUGGAAACUGAAACUCCUUGACAUUAUGGUUCAUUUUCAUUUACUCUUCAUCACAAUAAUAUAGAAAAAAGCUCUGAGCAAAUUCCAGAAUUCCCAAGAAUUUUAGCCCAUUUUACCCUCGCCUACAAAUUCCUGUAUUACAUGUAGUGAGGAUCAAUAAAUCAGCAAUUAUGUAGUAUUUUCUAUUUUCCCAGCAAUAGGAAGAAUAAAAGGAGAAUAAAAUAUAUCGCAUUUAAUCAUAUGUUUACCUUGUAUGACUUACUUAGUGAGGCGAUACCACUUUAGUAAUUUGGGUAAGGUUGCUUGAGUGGUAAAAUUAAAUUUAAAUCAAUAUUUAAAUAUAGGAUUUAUUUCAAAGUCUAGUGUUAUACCACCAACCAUGCAUUAUCCCUUUCUAUCAAGAAUACUUUUAUCUCAUUCCCCUCUAUCCAAAUAUUUAAUUUUGACAAAUUUCCAACCUAAAGAAAGUUAAACAAAUAGGACAAUAAAAAUUCCAGAUACCCUCCAUCUAGAUUUAUAGAUUUACCAAUUGUUACCACUAUCGUACAUUUGUCCUCUCUCAUGUUCAAUAGAUAGUAAAAGAAAGAUGCUAAGCCAUUUGAAAGUAAGUUUCAGAUAUCUUGUCACUUUACCUCUAAAAACUGAAGAAUCUCUGAAUCUGCCUCUGUUUUGCAAUUCUUAGCAGUAACAAUUUUAAAGUGUCCAGGAGAGUUGUCUUGUAAAAUGUUCUAUAGUCUAGAUUUGUCUGGUCAUUCCUUAGAAUCAGAUUAAGCAUUUUGGGCAAGAAUACAAGAUUGGUGAUACUGUGUGUAUCUCUCUACAUCACAGCAGGAGGCAUAUAAAUCAACUUAUCCCAUAGUGGUGCUACUAAAUUUGAUCAAUUGGUUAAUGUCGUUUCUGUCAGCUCUAUCCUUUAAAGGUAUAUUUAUUUCUCUAUAAUUAAUAAAUGACUUCAGCAUCAAUAUUGCUAGUACUUACUUCAAUCAAUUAAUACAUUGGUGGUUGCAAAACAGUAAUUUUCUAAUUCUAGUUCACAUUUUGCCAGUUAGAAUUUUUCUGAAGAGGUUUUUGUCCCUGACACCCUCAUCUUUUAAAUUUAAGUAUCAUAAUAGAUUCAUGGAUUAAUUUUAAUGGAAUCUUAUGAUCCCUUACCACUAUUAUUCAUUUUGAUGCUUGAAUUGUUCCAUAUUUGGUCAAUGCAAGCACUCAUUAAGCCAGUUCCUUUUUGGCACAUUCCCAUUAGUCUUUGAGCACUUUGUUUUUAGCACAAAAUGUUCUAGGCUCACCUUACACUUUCCUAUCCCAGACCUGAAAUUAGCCAUUUUUCCUUGGAGCCCUGGUUUCUUUUAAUGGAGAAUGGUAUUAGAGACCAAGAUAAAAGUGCUAGGUGUGUUCAUUGCUUCUGGGGUGUCAUUGCUUUAGGCUCACUCAAUGAACCAAGCUGUGAAAUGAAUUUUUAAAAGUGAAUUGGUACUUAAACCUCCUACAAGUCCUACACCACAGGAUUUUUCUUCUUUCCAUUGCACACUUAUAUAGCCUCCAGGAACCCUGGUUUCCAAUUAUUUCAAUGCUAUUUAUUCAUUUGCCCUAUUCUAAAUAUGAAAUCAGUUAAUUUCAAUGCCAACAACAAGCCUGCUAAGUAAAGUGCAAGAUUCCUUUGCACUUCUUAUUCUCUUAGAAUAUGUACCACUAAUAGUAGUAUGUCAGGGUACAGUGUAUCCUGGGUGGUCAUGUUAUCAUUUUGAGAUACAGUUGAGUCCAUGUGUUUAUCACAGUCCCUUCACAACAUGACUUCCUCCUUCUUGAAUUCUGAGUUUUUGUCUAUCUUUAUUUUGGCCAAAUUAUGUUUCUAAGUAACUUUUUCAGGCUGAUAGACAUUUUUUUGAGACCUUGCCAUAUCUCUGAAUUGUUUCUGCUGUCUUAUACAUGAAUGAAAAUUUGAAUCUCUUGUUUAUUUACUGUUUAUUCCAAAUAUUUUCUAAAUUUGAUGCUAUUGCUAAAUGAAAUGAAAUUUCAUUUUCUGCUUAUAUUAGAUGUCAGUGUAUUUAUUCUGAAAAGGCACAUUAUUAAAUCAAUUUAUGAUUUAGUUUUUUAAUUGACUUUUUAACUUUCCUGAAAGAUAAUUCUAUCAUCUGAAAAUACAGAAGCUCCCCUUUAAGAAUAAUUCACUUUCAAAAAGUUGUUCACUAUCUCAAAUAUUAUUAGUCCAAACUGACAACACAUAAGUAAUUGCUCUCAGCAUCCAAUGGUAGUGAGAAGAGAGGAUGUCCUUUUGCUCAGGUAAUUAAAAUAAGUUAACAUUUAUAAUAUUAGGUUUAAAUGUGUGUCAUGCCUGCAGAAACAAAGUCAAAUGCAAAUGCUAGCAAUAAAUCUUGAAAGGAAUACAAGAUAUAAUUAGAUUAAGUUAAUUAUUUAGGAGCAAAUGCCAUUGUCUUAAUAAAUUAAACACAUAUUAUUUUUAGUAAAUUAAACACUGAUAAACUACUAAGUUCAGGAAGAAGGAUAAAAAAGUAACAGUAAGCUAAGUAACUUUCCAAAAAUUUGGGUACAUUCUUAACUUGGGUUAUUAAAGAAAUAUAAUUUUAAGAUUCUUUAUCUUCCAUAUCAUUGCCAAAUGCCAAUGUAAUGUAUGUUUCCCAUAUUGUUUGGGAAUGUUCAGCUCUGGUUUAGAAAGCUAGCAAAACAAAUGGGAAAAUAAAUGUGUUAAGAAUAGACAGUUAUUGAGCAAACAGCUUAUGAGACAUGAGAGAAACUCAUAAGAUGUAUUAAUUGUAGAUAAUAAGUAAGCAAGCAGCUUGAGAGACAAAGACAGAAUACCCAAGAUUUACUAAAUAUAUAGUAAGUUAGUAGCCACUAACACAUGUUAAAGAUAGAUAAAAUAAGUGGACUAUAUGAUGGAGCAAACAAAAAUGAUACUUACAGAAAGAGAUGGAAAGACCAAGUAAUAAAUUAUAGAUCAUGUUGCCUGUAGCCUGAUGGCUAUGUCAUCUCCAAACUGGCCACCCACUGGUAACACCUAUCAUGGUCUCAUUCUGUCCCUACUUGUGCUUUGCUCAAGAAAUUAAAAAACAAACAAACAAAAGCCAGGACUGAUCAGCAGGCCAAUUGGCAAGUCACCACAGGGGCUAGGCAUAUUUAUCUGUGUCUCUUGAAUACAGCAAGUCAGUGUGUUGACACCAGAUAACUUCCACCUGUUGGACCUCUUCAUAAUCACACCAUCAGCUGGGAGGACACGUGAGUCAAAAACAAAGGAUCGCUGGGCACGGUGGCUCACGCCUGUAAUCCUGACACUUUGUGAGGCUGAGGCGGGUGGAUCAUCUGAGGUCAGGAGUUCAAGACCAGCCUGGCCAACAUGGUGAAACCCCAUCUCUACUAAAAAUACAAAAAUUAGCCAGGUGUGGUGGUGCACUCCUGUAAUCCCAGCUACUCAAGAGGCUGAGGCAGGAGAAUUGCUUGAUCCCAGGAGUUGGAGGUAGCAGUGGGCCAAGAUCAUGCCACUGCACUCCAGCCUGGGCAACAGAGCAAGACUCCAUCUCAAAAAAAAAAAGAAAGGAUCAGAAGUCAGGCAGUGUUGUCCUUUCACUCUGCCUACAUCCUAUCCUAAGUGAAUUUACCUCUCUCAUCUCUUCCCCUAGCCUCUCACUACGUAUUUUCAAGUGAUUUAAUAAAACCAUGUGAUUUGAAC